AUUGAACGCUGGCGGGAGGCCUAACACAUGCAAGUCGAGCGGAUGAAGGGAGCUUGCUCCUGGAUUCAGCGGCGGACGGGUGAGUAAUGCCUAGGAAUCUGCCUGGUAGUGGGGGAUAACGUCCGGAAACGGGCGCUAAUACCGCAUACGUCCUGAGGGAGAAAGUGGGGGAUCUUCGGACCUCACGCUAUCAGAUGAGCCUAGGUCGGAUUAGCUAGUUGGUGGGGUAAAGGCCUACCAAGGCGACGAUCCGUAACUGGUCUGAGAGGAUGAUCAGUCACACUGGAACUGAGACACGGUCCAGACUCCUACGGGAGGCAGCAGUGGGGAAUAUUGGACAACGGGCGAAAGCCUGAUCCAGCCAUGCCGCGUGUGUGAAGAAGGUCUUCGGAUUGUAAAGCACUUUAAGUUGGGAGGAAGGGCAGUAAGUUAAUACCUUGCUGUUUUGACGUUACCAACAGAAUAAGCACCGGCUAACUUCGUG
rnacentral:rRNA from 1 species